UACGAAGGGGGCUAGCGUUGCUCGGAAUCACUGGGCGUAAAGGGUGCGUAGGCGGGUCUUUAAGUCAGGGGUGAAAUCCUGGAGCUCAACUCCAGAACUGCCUUUGAUACUGAGGAUCUUGAGUUCGGGAGAGGUGAGUGGAACUGCGAGUGUAGAGGUGAAAUUCGUAGAUAUUCGCAAAGAACACCAGUGGCGAAGGCGGCUCACUGGCCCGAUACUGACGCUGAGGCACGAAAGCGUGGGGAGCAAACAGG
rnacentral:rRNA from 1 species